rnacentral:tRNA from 1 species
CAAGAUAUAACUGAUUAGUAAAGUAUUUCAUUUACACUGAAAAUUGUUCUGUGCAACUCAGGAUAUCUUGA